rnacentral:rRNA from 1 species
GAUGAAGGCUUUCGGGUCGUAAAACUCUGUUGUUAGGGAAGAACAAGUACGAGAGUAACUGCUGUACCUUGACGGUACCUAACCAGAAAGCCACGGCUAACUACGUGCCAGCAGCCGCGGUAAUACGUAGGUGGCAAGCGUUAUCCGGAAUUAUUGGGCGUAAAGCGCGCGCAGGCGGUUUCUUAAGUCUGAUGUGAAAGCCCACGGCUCAACCGUGGAGGGUCAUUGGAAACUGGGGAACUUGAGUGCAGAAGAGAAAAGCGGAAUUCCACGUGUAGCGGUGAAAUGCGUAGAGAUGUGGAGGAACACCAGUGGCGAAGGCGGCUUUUUGGUCUGUAACUGACGCUGAGGCGCGAAAGCGUGGGGAGCAAACAGGAUUAGAUACCCUGGUAGUCCACGCCGUAAACGAUGAGUGCUAAGUGUUAUGGGUUUCCGCCCUUUAGUGCUGCAGCUAACGCAUUAAGCACUCCGCCUGGGGAGUACGGUCGCAAGACUGAAACUC